ACUUGCGCCGUUGAACGCUGCU
rnacentral:miRNA from 1 species